UGGGGAAUAUUGGACAAUGGGCGCAAGUCUGAUCCAGCCAUGCCGCGUGAGUGAUGAAGGCCCUAGGGUUGUAAAGCUCUUUCACCGGUGAAGAUAAUGACGGUAACCGGCGAAGAAGCCCCGGCUAACUUCGUGCCAGCAGCCGCGGUAAUACGAAGGGGGCUAGCGUUGUUCGGAUUUACUGGGCGUAAAGCGCACGUAGGCGGACUUUUAAGUCAGGGGUGAAAUCCCGGGGCUCAACCCCGGAACUGCCUUUGAUACUGGAAGUCUUGAGUAUGGUAGAGGUGAGUGGAAGUACGAUUGUAGAGGUGAAAUUCGUAGAUAUUCGGAGGAACACCAGUGGCGAAGGCGGCUCACUGGACCAUUACUGACGCUGAGGUGCGAAAGCGUGGGGAGCAAACAGG
rnacentral:rRNA from 1 species